UUUGACUUUUGUUGAUGGAGACAAGAGACAGUUGACAAUUCCUGACUGUAAAUUGUCAGAUUUUUGGUUUGAUUGUUGUUUUUUUGCCAAAAACUUUUUGGUUAACUUAUUACUUAUUUAUUUUUAGAGGUGAUAAUACAUAUUUUUAUAUAAAUAUAACUAGAUCUUACAUUUUUGUAGUGGUAAAAAUAAGAUAAAAAAAUGAGUGAUCAUUUUACAUCCAUCCAGCGAUGAGAAUUUAGAAGGAAUUGACACUUAGGGAGUACCAAAAAAUUUAGAUUAUUUUGAGGAAACUGUGCCUUUGUUCGAUGGCGAUAAGUAUGUCCUGGAACAUUUUGGCAUCAUCAGAGUAAAAGUAGUAGAGAUGUUACAGGUCCAUUCAACACAUCCAAAAGUUGUUUACACAAAAUAGUAAGGAGAAUCACUUUUUUAUCUGUUGAAUACGUUCGUUGGCCAAAUGAGUAAAUGACAAUCAAAAACAGACUAUUUAAAGAUAUUUUCGUUAUUGCAAUUUCCCAGGGGGCUUAUGUGAAAAUCGAUAAACCAAAGGAAGAUCCAGAUUCAUAUUAAAAUAGGAACAAAAAUAUUCAAUACAGGCACAAAUGGUUUAUGAUCACGAGAAAAUGAUCAGGGAUAUAUUUGUUGUAUAUCCAGGUUCUGUACACUAUAGCAGAGUUUUAAGGAGAUCCAAUUUGUUUGCAGCUCUUCCACAAAGAUGUGGUGAAUACUAUAUUUUAGGUGAUAGUGAAUACACAUGUUUAAACAUUUUUUGACUCCAGUUAAAGACAAGGGUCAUUUAACAAGACAGUAAAGAAAUUAUAAUUAUUGUUCAAAAAUACAUAUGGGAUAGAGCAUUGUUUUGGAUUUCUCAAACAAAGUUUUAUAGGCAGCUGUAUCACCAUCCAUUAAGAAAUAUUAGAGAUAUAGUCCCAUUUAUAAGGGCUAGUGCAGUGUUACAUAACUUAGCAAUUGAUGAUAAUUUGCCCAUCAAUUGAAUGUUGAUGCACCUCAUCUUCUCAUUACCAACAAAUAUGAAAUUGAUGCUGUAUAUAGGUGGUGUUACAAAAAGAAAUUCAUGCAAGGUUUAAAUUUGAUUUUGUAAUAAUUGUGUUUAAUAAACUAUAUUCAGACACUUUCAAA